UACGUAGGGGGCGAGCGUUGUCCGGAGUUACUGGGCGUAAAGGGCGUGCAGGCGGUCUCAUAAGUUCGGAGUGACAGUUCCCGGCUCAACUGGGAAAGGCCUACCGAAAACUGUAAGACUUGAGGGCCAGAGAGGGACAUAGAAUUCCGGGUGGAGUGGUGAAAUGCGUAGAUAUCCGGAGGAAUACCAAAGGCGAAGGCAGUGUCCUGGCUGGCAUCUGACGCUGAGGCGCGAAAGCUAGGGGAGCGAACAGG
rnacentral:rRNA from 1 species